GUGGGGAAUCUUCCGCAAUGGACGAAAGUCUGACGGAGCGACGCCGCGUGAGUGAAGAAGGCCUUCGGGUCGUAAAGCUCUGUCAUCAGGGACGAACGGCCGGUGGAGUGGAAAGCCACCGGAUUGACGGUACCUGAGAAGGAAGCCACGGCUAACUACGUGCCAGCAGCCGCGGUAAUACGUAGGUGGCAAGCGUUGUCCGGAAUUAUUGGGCGUAAAGCGCGCGCAGGUGGGAUCUUAAGUCCAUUUUUAAAGUUCGGAGCUCAACUCCGUGAUGGGAUGGAAACUGGGAUUCUUGAGUACCGGAGAGGAAAGCGGAAUUCCCCGUGUAGCGGUGAAAUGCGUAGAUAUGGGGAGGAACACCAGUGGCGAAGGCGGCUUUCUGGACGAUGUCUGACGCUGAGGCGCGAAAGCUAGGGGAGCGAACGGGAUUAGAAACCCGUGUAGUCC
rnacentral:rRNA from 1 species